AACGAACGCUGGCGGCAGGCCUAACACAUGCGAGUCGAGCGAGGACUUCGGUUCUAGCGGCGGACGGGUGAGUAACGCGUGGGAAUGUGCCCUUCUCUACGGAAUAGCCCUGGGAAACUGGAAGUAAUACCGUAUACGCCCUAUUGGGGAAAGAUUUAUCGGUGAAGGAUAGGCCCGGGUUGGAUUAGGUAGUUGGUGGGGUAAUGGCCUACAAAGCCGAAGAUCCAUAGCUGGUUUGAGAGGAUGAUCAGCCACGCUGGAACUGAGACACGGCCCAGACUCCUACGGGAAGCAGCAGUGGGGAAUCUGAGACAAUGGGGGCAACCCUGAUCUAGCCAUGCCGCGUGAGUGAUGAAGGCCUUAGGGUUGUAAAGCUCUUUCAGCUGGGAAGAUAAUGACGGUACCAGCAGAAGAAGCCCCGGCUAACUCCGUG
rnacentral:rRNA from 1 species